ACACAACCUGAGCAACAGAGAGGGACCAAAUUCCCUCUUCAGGACAUUGCUGCUCAUGUUUCUGAGCUUCCAAGACAGCUGGAAUUGCAGCAAAAUGAGGAGGGUGUCCUGGCCUCUAAAGGCAGCAAGCAAAAAGCAGAGUGUGGAGAAACCAGCAGGUCCCAAUCUCCAGCUGCUACUAUGAAGCAUCAUCGAGACAGUCAUAUUUUUUAGGGGCUCAGAGCACUCUCAGCUCCAAGCAAAGUCAAUGAGAGAUGCAGUUGCUUUGUUCUGCUGCAAAUAUAUCCUAUUAGUGCCUACUUUUUUUUUUAUGCUUUAUUAGUGCUUUAUCCUGUGCCAAAUGCUAAAACCCCUCAACCCCUGCUGAGGGCGGUGGAAUUUAGGA